AGCACACUUAAACAAAGUUAACGCCUUGGCCAUUUUUCCUAUCAUAGAGAGAAACCUCGAGCUUUUCUUCAUUUCAAGCAAAAUCUGGAGCUUUUCUUCACAAUCUUCUCAAAACACUUAGCCAUAACAAAUCACCAUCUUUCAAAGUCUGGAUUUAGGUUCUAUUCGAUUUGAGUUCUACUCGAUUAGGGUUCGAUUUGGGGGUUUUUCAUUCUGCACAAAUCACCGCCUAAUUUUUUUCGUCGAAGUUAAACUUCCCACUUUUUUCUUUCCCACACAUCGUACUACAAUUUUGCAUUUUCGCUCGACCCGCCUCUAUUUUUCAAUUGACCUCUCUCUCUCUGCGCAUAUGUUUAGGGUUUGAACCCUAAGUCGUCGUCGUCUCUCCCCAAACCCCCAACCAAGCCUCUGUUCCUAAACGCCUCCGACCCCCUUCACGAUGCCAUUGAGGAGCUCCAGCGCCGCCAUCGCACUGAUGUUGCGCGUGGCUCGCAGCACCACCCGCCCAGCGACCAUGCGAACGACGAGUUAUGCGCCGCGCACGCGAUUGGGAACCUCUGCCAGAACCUCCGGUAUGCUCGCUACCUGCGUCAUCCAACCCCCAUCGAUAUGAUCAAGAUCUAUGAUUUGUUUGGCUCUGUUGCUGGAGGAGAGGGUGGUUUUGAAAUGGAGGAAGAACAAGGAUGUUGUUCUGUGGUUUGGGUUGUCACUGUUUCUGCAUUUUCCUCUUGCUUCGUCACUGAACGAUGAAGAGACUUGCAGGGGAAUAAACUAACUGGUCAAAUCCCGGAUGAGAUUGGCAACUGUGCUUCUCUUAUGUAUCUGAUGGCACCAUCUAGAAUUCAUGUUACUUGUGCACUAGUUUAUGACAAAACAUCAACAGGAAGGAUUCACAAAGGAGUGUGUUCAACCUGGAUGAAGAAUUAUGUGCCUUCGACAAAAAGUGAUGAUUGUAGUUGGGCAUAAUCAUCGCAAGCUGAUACCUGAUACUGAUUCUAGUGUCAACUUUAAUGUUGUCAAAUAAACCUCAGAUUGCUGGGAAACUACCAAAUAAGUCUCGUAGAAUCAUUUAUUGAAGUUGAUUGUGCAAAUGUAGGGGAUAUUGUAGUGAAAACUGAUUGUGGUAUGUCCUUUGUUUCACUUGAGUAUUCACAGGAAGCUCAACAUGGCUGCGGAUUUGUUUGAGGGAAUGUUCAGCUCCAGAUUUUAUUUUUAGUUAGUCAUUACAGCCAAAAAAAGUCCCAUCUCAUUUCAGGAAAGAACAGAACCAGAUCAAGCAAGUAGGGAGCAUGUCAUAGCUUCCGACAUCUGGAACAUGCUAUCUCAAGGAGGUUAUAUUUAGCAUGGACAGUCGGUGCAAUAGAUGUGUUGGAGAGAAGCACUCGGGUUCAGUAGCUUGAUGGAACUGUUGUACCACUAUGAUCUUCUCCAUUGGAGGUAACUUUGAGUGAUUCUCCCUUUUGUGUGUUUUUUAUGAAAUUAUCAGCUUUGGGAAACUUUCAAGGCAGAGAAUCUCAUUUUUGAUGCAUACUUGGUGUAGGUUUUUCAGGAACUAUAUGGUGGACUGUUGCAUAAAGAGUCAUUGGAAGAUCAAGCAUGGAGUACCCGGCAUUGCAGCAAGCUAUAUUUUCUUUCAUCAUGUAAAACUUAGCUAAAAAACUUAAAAGCUUCUUAGUCUAUGAGAUGUAUGAAUGCUUUAACAAUGUUCCUUAAAUUCAAUAUUUGAUGAAUUGAUGUAUCACAAUGCUUUUGGUACAAAUAUUGAUCAUUUGAUGGUUUGCAUUCAAUUUG